UCCUGGUUUCCCAGGCAGUCCCGUCAGAGUGCUUCCGAAGAAUAGCAACUGACAGCAAGGGUUGCGCUCGUUAGAGGACUUAACCUAACACCUCACGGCACGAGCUGACGACAGCCAUGCAGCACCUGUGCAUCUGUCUAGGUCAAAGACCUAAAAAGCUGUGUUUCUACAGCGGUCACAUGCAUGUCAAGCCUAGGUAAGGUUCCUCGCGUAGUGACGAAUUAAACCACAUGUUCCACCGCUUGUGCGGACCCCCGUCAAUUCUUUUGAGUUUUAGUCUUGCGACCGUAGUCCCCAGGCGGAUCACUUAAAGCGUUAGCUGCGACACUGAUUCUGCUAAGCAAAACCAACGUCUAGUGAUCAUCGUUUACAGCGUGGACUAC
rnacentral:misc_RNA from 1 species